GGCCGUUAGUAAAGUGGAUAGCAUCUCCACUUGUCUCGCGGAAGACCAGGGUUCAAAUCCCUGACAUGAAGUCU